rnacentral:rRNA from 1 species
GACGAACGCUGGCGGCGUGCCUAAUACAUGCAAGUAGAACGCUGAAGGAGGAGCUUGCUUCUCUGGAUGAGUUGCGAACGGGUGAGUAACGCGUAGGUAACCUGCCUGGUAGCGGGGGAUAACUAUUGGAAACGAUAGCUAAUACCGCAAAAGAGUUAGUGUUUGCAUGACAUUUGGUUUAAAAAGGUGCAAUAGCAACAACUACCAGGAUCGAUCUUCGUUUGUUUAAGCUAGUUUGGGGGGGGGACCCGCCCACACAAUAGCAACCGCUUCUUUCCCGAACUGAGGAGGGGAGCUUGCCCCCCGGGGGUGUGAAGACACGCCCACAACCGCCCGAGAGGGGGCGGCACGGACUCUUCGGGUUUGUCGAAAAAUAAAACAAAGCCAACCCACGGGAGGAGGGGGGGGGGGGCGGGAGCGAGAGGCA